GCAGUCCAGGGUCUGGUAUUUGUGAGUCUGUGUUGUGUAAGUUAACAACUGAUCUCUGAGCAUUAGUAGAGGACAUGCUAAGGUUGAAUUCAAGGACAGUCUUAUCCAUAAAACUUACAGACAAACCAUGUAAUGGGACCUGGAAUACAUACAGAUGUUAGUAUGUGCGGAGUUGGAGCACCAUCCCAUACAUCAUAAAACUUCAUCAAAUGACUAUGAAAUUCAUUGUAUCUUCUGAAGAUGAACCAAGACUGGUCCCCAAAAUUCACAACCACUUUGUAGACCUGUAGUGGGAAAACAGAUUUCAUCAGGGACAGCAGGUUAUUUUGAACAAAGCUCAGCCUUUUGGACUUGUUUAUCUUUUUGGAAUGGUCUGUUAUGGCCUCCAAAGUCACAGAGAAACUUUCACUCAUUUUUGUUUCAUAAAGUAUCAGGAAUAUCAGCGAGAGAAAAUUCCGACAAUAUCAAUUAAACAUAAUCCUCCAUAAAAAUAAGUUCAAAGUCUUGAUUAUAAGGAAGCAGAUUAUCUCCCCUCAUGGCUCCCUGUAGGAUGGAAACAAAGUGAAAACUCAGCUUCCUUCGUCACUGGCAAUGAUGUUCUGGAGGCAGAUGCACCUGAUAAUCUUCAGCAGUUAUCCUCCUGUGUCUUCCAAGUAUUGAAAUAAAUUAUUAGUCAAGCUCUCACUGCACCAAAAAAAAAAAAACCAAUCAGCUGAUUCACAAAUGCCCAGAAACUAAGGUAUUUCAGAUUAACCUUUACUCUGACUAAAGUAAAGCUUGAAUGGAUUGCGUUAAAUCAAGUGGUCAGAACACCAGGUAAACAACACAUUGGAGACAGGUUAAUACCUACAGUGACCAGUGCUCCAGCAGAUAAGAAUAGUUAUCCCAGUCCUGACACAACUACCACUCAACAUCUAGGUAUAAACUAAUUAAAUGCUUUGUUCUCAAAUCAGUCACUGAAUGUUACAUUAAUCAACAGAUUUAAUGUCAUUAAGAUUAACAAAGUUCUGUCACCACCUUCAAAAACUAUAGUGGUAAAAAAAAAAAAAACUCCGCUUAGAAGUUGUUGGGGCUGUGAAUGUGUUUGAUAUGAGAAUGAAAUCAAGAGGCUGUGAAUAACAAAAAAAUUCACAAUUUCAAAUUUAUAUUUUGUGCAUUCACUGAUUCAAUCAGAAAUAUCAAAAACUAAACCUAUCAAUAAGAAUCAUUGUUUCUCAAUUCUCAUAGAACAAUUGACAUUCUCUGUCCUCCCCAAAAGUAAAAACAUACCUAUAUUAAAAUCAGAGUUAAAAAAAUUAGUAGUGCCAAACAAUUUUACACAAUAGUUGUCCCUUUCUGUGUCGAGCACUGCCAGCCCCUGACAAUCCAUGGAGUAACAACAUUACAUCAUCAUUGAUUUCUCGAUAUUGUAUAACACCAUAAAUACUUUAAAUCCAUCCAAAGCUUUUAAAGUUAACAAAGGUUGCUUAAAAAAACAAACAAUUCCAUCAGGAAAAAGAUUUAAGACACUGUUUUGCUUUUAUUUUAUUGUAAAGUUCUUAAUCAGGUCAUGACAUGUUCGAUAAAUCUUUUUAGAAGCUGUUCAGUACAGAUGUGGAUAUGCACUUUACAAUAUGUAAUUAACACAGACACCUGUAACAAAUAAUUCUCCAUCAGUCCAACUUCAGAUGAUAUAUCUAUUUUUACUGAUGUGUGCAAAUGAUAUGAUUUUGAUAUUAGUUUCUGUUGAAGGUAUAUACAGAAUAUAUGUUGGACAUUUUAUAUUAAUUCACCAUGGAGUGGAAUUUAACUGUAUAAAAUGUUGGGAAAAACCAACAAAAAUAUUAAUUUUUCACAAUUAGUUGUUAUAUAAUUGAUGAUGAAUGUUAAACAUACUAUGGUAACUGUCGAAGUUGUUGAUAGAUUGGACUAUCUUGGAAUGUUGUUUCAAUUAUAAUUGCAAAUUUUUAUUAACAAAGAAACAUUUUCAUGCCAGGGUAAAAAAAUUUUUUACCACUAUGCAUGGUGUACUUAGUAAAACAAAGGAUUUUAAAAUUUUAAAUGCAGAAACACGAAUAUCUCUUUGAUACUUAUAUUAAUAACUGUAUGUUAUGAGUUACGGAGCUGAAGAAUGGGGACUUCACAAAGGAUACAGAAAAUGUUGUAAAAUAUUCAAAGCACCAGUAACAACGUAGUCUAUUGUGAAAUGGGUAGAUUUCCACAUUCAUUAGAAAGAAAAAGAAGAAAAUUUUGAAAUACUGUAUAAAAUGAAGAAAUAGUGAUAAUGUAUCCCAG